UACAGAGGUCCCGAGCGUUGUUCGGAAUCACUGGGCGUAAAGGGCGCGUAGGCGGCAUGCCAAGCGUGUGGUGAAAGCCCGGGGCUCAACCCCGGGUCGGCCGUGCGGACUGGCGUGCUUGAGCACUGUAGGGGCGGGUGGAAUUCCCGGUGUAGUGGUGAAAUGCGUAGAGAUCGGGAGGAACACCCGUGGCGAAGGCGGCUCACUGGGCUGACCUUGACGCUGAGGCGCGAAGGCGUGGGGAGCGAACGGG
rnacentral:rRNA from 1 species